GGGGAUGAGUUUAUGAGAUCCUUGCAGCUGAUCCAGAGCAGGUGAGAAUGGAGGGAGAAGCAGGCUGGAGGAGGAGAUUAGGGAGGCCGCGUUACAGACACCCCCCCUUCACAAGGUGGGCUCGGUAAAGGUUGACAGGAGAAUGGGGCACUGAUACCUACUUUACAAAAGAGAAAAGACGCACGACAGUCCUUCCACUCCCACCAGGGACUUCAAGGUCCACCCACUUUGGGGAGUGCAGGGCCUCCAGUCACUACUAUCCCCAGCAGGAAGGGUUACCUGAGGCCCCUGAUGCCAGCUUCCUGCCUCGAGGCACAGAUCUGGCUGGGCCACGCUGCACAGAUGGGCGCCGGCCUCGGUUUAGGCUGCAUGUGUCAUUAAUUAUCUGCAGAAGCCAUGAGCUCAGGGAGAUCCCCGUGGCUUCUGUCCUCCGCACCCUGCCAGAAAUGCAGUGCAGGUGGGCUCGGCUGAGGAAGCUGGGUGGACCAAAGUUCAGGCUUAGCGAGAAGAUAAAUAGCAGUGCCCCCAAGACCUCCCCGGGGGGCUGGCACAGGCCUCAGGACAAAGCAGGUGCUCACUGUGGACCGGAUCUUUGAGCCGAAUGAAGCUGGACCGGUACCCAUUUAAGGAAGAUCAGAACUCAAUUUCUGUGCUCCCCAGGAGUGUGGGGCAGCGAAUGGAAGCUGCCCUGGCUGGGGAGGGCCGUGGGGCUGGCCCAGGAAUGCACAGCCAUAGGCCGGCAGGCUGGAGCUCUGCUCUUCUUCCCCGACACUGGCAUCUGGGGGAGGCCUGGGGCUCCCUCUACUUCAUCGGCAUGACACGGCGGGAGGCCUUUCUUCCUCAUCUCCCCCAAGCAUCUGCCCUCCCCUUCCUCCACGGCACUAGGGCUGUUGUUGGCGCAGCCUGCCUGCUGGGUUCCAUCCCCCAGCCCCUUGCAGUCGGACGUGGCCCUCUGCCGGGGUUCUAGGCAAAGGAACGUGAGCGGAAGUGAGCUGCUCCCCGUCCAGUCCUGGCCCCUGAACACUUCCCCUGCAGACCCCUCCCAGCCUUUCUUCUUCCCACCGACUGGGCUGGCGACGCCCAGGGUGGCCUUCGAAGCCCAUGUUGCAGACCACAGAGCUGCCGUCAGCUUGGCUCCCUCACGGGCUGUGAGGAGCAAAGCCCCUGCCCUCCUAGGCCCUCCAUCCCUGACUCUUCCGUGAGACAGCCACACACUUCCCUUUGGUUUACGCCCUAACGUUUUGGAGUCUUUGUGCUACAGCAGUUCAGCUGACUCUAACACCCCUUCAAGAGCGGAUUUUCAGUCUUGGGAUGUGUGGUUGCCCUGGGCUAUCAAGAGUUUGGAUGUGGGUGCAGGCAGGGCACAUGGGGUGGGGCAAGGUCUUGGGCACAGAUAAGUGACGGGCCUGCUGGCUGAUCACCACACUGCUGCUGACAGAAGGUCCUCACCAGGCAGCGGGAGGCUGGCAUGAGGGCCCCUCGGCCCAGGAGUGGCCAGGCCACGGCCCCGCGGCAGGGUCCCAUUCUCUAACCCCAUUGCACCCUGACUCUGGUGAGUGCCACCUCCCACCCUGGCUGUGCCUGCUAGGUGCCUACUGAGCCCCCUGGCCACUCUCCCCUGUCCCUCAUGCACACAGAACCUGGAUAGCCUCUGCACUCUGGAGUGGACUGUCACUCACCCUGGGUCCCCCAGAUCCUCUGUUGAAGGCAGGUCGUGACUCUGGUUCCCAGGACUUAAAAUGGCCAGAACCCUAUAAUUCAGAAAGCUUUCUCUCUCUGUCAUUAGUGGCACCUGGGUUUUCAAAAGCUGAGCUGCCUUUCUCUCCAUCCUUCCUGCCACGACUGUCCCACCCUCAAAGCCCUGCACAC
rnacentral:lncRNA from 1 species